UAAUCUUCAAAAUCUGAAGAUAAUUAGAUCGGCUUAGCUGCUCAAGCCGCAAAUCCCCUUUCUCUCUCCUAUACCAAAUCGAAUUCAUUUAUUUACAUUUAAUUUUUUUUCUAUCUCCACAAAAUCGAGAGAAUUUCAUCUUCCACACAUGAUUUGCUUCAAUUUUUGCAGAAAGGGAAAAAAGAACCCUGAUUUUCGCAUUGCAUAUGUUGGAGACGACAAGAACAAAUAUCAGACCGAUGAAGGUGUUUUUCGAAUAUUUGGCUUUGAGAGCACGUAGCUUAACCUUGCCCAAGCUGCUGCUGAGAGCUUCAUGAGCCCAACGGCGUGUAACUUAAUGUGGCGAUCCCGUCUCAUUUUUGGAAACAAUGAACACGCUCUAUGCUUCCUAAAUCCUUUGCUUGCUUUGAAGGUUUAUUUUAUCAGGACGUAGACUAUUUUAAUUUUUUCCCUUUUUUGAACUGCAGCUGGUCUAGCCCUCUGCUUUUUGAUACUGUAUUGUAAUUUAACAAACAUAUAGUAGUAUAUUAUUUAUGUUUAUAUAGUUAAUUACGAGCAGGCCACACACAAAGAUUAGUACCUAUAAAGCAGAAAGCAUUGUAAAUUAAGAUCAUGUGCAUAUGUGAAGCUGUUGUUUCCCAUUUCUAUUACGAUGCCUUUGAAAUUGUUGGCUGGAAGACUUUUGGUUGUUAUGCAAUGGCACUUGAGUUGUGUGUUUGUAGUCAAAUCAUAGUUCAAUGGGAUCGAGUUUGUUCACCAUUUUGGUUGUUAUGUUGAUUGUCUCUGACAUUGUUACACCAUUUAGUUGAGAAUUUAUGUCAUUCAUUUCCAACUGAUAAUAUGCCUUCACUUCUAUGCCAUUUCAUGUAUCUCAAUCUUAUCAUUCUUGUAAAGUAUGACUAAUCAACGAUUCAACAUUCAUUUCAUCUGGAAAAAUAUUGUUGUGAUUUCUGCAGAAGGGGAAAAAAGGGUUCUUUUUGGAUUAGCUACAACACCAGCACACUUUGAGGACAGACUCAAUGAUGUUCGGCUUCAGUUGGCAGAAGAAAUGCCGUGUGAUCACCCGCAGUCAAAACAAGGUAGGGAACCAGCUGCUGCUACGAGGCUCGGUAUAUUUGAUGGGAAUUCUGCAGCAACGGAUGGGUUAAGUCCUAAUGACCCCGAUUGUUUCUGCCGCUUGGGAAUGGACUUCAUCAUUUGAAGAGAAAUGCCUGUUCAAUUUACCCAGACAAGUUGUUUCCUCGACUACACCAUGAAUGAAUGGGGAUGAAUUCUAUUAAUAAAGAAAAGGAUCAUGAGCUUGCUUUUGAUGUUGGUGUUAGUUCUUUGAUGCUUUUGCCUUUGUUCUUAACAUGUGAAUUCACAAAUCUUAAUGGGAAAAUCAUUACGUCUCUUUGCUUCA